rnacentral:rRNA from 1 species
GAGUUUGAUCCUGGCUCAGAUUGAACGCUGGCGGAAUGCUUUACACAUGCAAGUCGAGCGGCAGCGCGGGGCAACCUGGCGGCGAGCGGCGAACGGGUGAGUAAUGCAUCGGAACAUGUCCUGUCGUGGGGGAUAGCCCGGCGAAAGCCGGAUUAAUACCGCAUACGUCCGAGAGGAGAAAGUGGGGGACCGAAAGGCCUCACGCGAUUGGGUUGGCCGAUGUCCGAUUAGCUAGUUGGUGGGGUAAAGGCCCACCAAGGCGAUGAUCGGUAGCUGGUCUGAGAGGAUGAUCAGCCACACUGGGACUGAGACACGGCCCAGACUCCUACGGGAGGCAGCAGUGGGGAAUUUUGGACAAUGGGGGCAACCCUGAUCCAGCCAUUCCGCGUGAGUGAAGAAGGCCUUCGGUU